UACGGAGGAUGCGAGCGUUAUCCGGAUUUAUUGGGUUUAAAGGGUGCGUAGGCGGCUUUUUAAGUCAGCGGUGAAAUUUUGCAGCUUAACUGUAACGGUGCCGUUGAUACUGGGGAGCUAGGAUUUGGUUGCUGUGGGUGGAAUGUGUGGUGUAGCGGUGAAAUGCUUAGAGAUCACACAGAAUAUCGAUUGCGAAGGCAGCUCACAAAGCCAAGAUUGACACUGAGGCACGAAAGUGUGGGGAUCAAACAGGAUUAGA
rnacentral:rRNA from 1 species